rnacentral:rRNA from 1 species
UGCCUUAUGUAUAAUAAUAUAAAGUAAUCUCCUGCCCAGUGAAAUAUUUCAACGGCCGCGGUAUCCUAACCGUGCAAAGGUAGCAUAAUAACUUGCCCAUUAAUUGUGGGCUUGAAUGAACGGGGAAACGAAAUAAAAACUGUGUCAUUUUAUCAACAAUAAAUUAUCUUUCAAGUGAAGAGACUUAAAUUAAAAUAAAGGACAAGAAGACCCUAUAGAGCUUUAUUUAAGAAAAUUAAAAAUCAAUCUUAAAUUCGGUUGGGGCGACCCUGGAUAAAUCAUCCGUAAAUUUAAAGACUUUCACGUCUACACAUAGAUCCUUAUACAAGAUUAAAGAAAUAAGCUACCUUAGGGAUAACAGGCUAAUCUUAUUCAAGAGUUCAUAUCACCAAUAAGGAUUGGCACCUCGAUGUUGGCUUAGAAAAUCUAUGUGGCGCAAAAGUCACAUAAAGAAGGUUUGUUCAACCUAUAAUUUUC